UACGUAGGGGGCAAGCGUUGUCCGGAUUUAUUGGGCGUAAAGAGCGUGUAGGCGGCCAAACAGGUCCACUGUGAAAACUCGAGGCUCAACCUCGAGAGGUCGGUGGAAACCGUGUGGCUAGAGUCCGGGAGAGGGAUGCGGAAUUCCAGGUGUAGCGGUGAAAUGCGUAGAUAUCUGGAGGAACACCGGUGGCGAAGGCGGCAUCCUGGACCGGCAUUGACGCUGAGGAGCGAAAGCCAGGGGAGCAAACGGG
rnacentral:rRNA from 1 species